rnacentral:rRNA from 1 species
UACGUAGGGUGCAAGCGUUGUCCGGAAUUAUUGGGCGUAAAGAGCUCGUAGGCGGUUUGUCGCGUCUGCUGUGAAAACCCAGGGCUUAACCCCGGGCCUGCAGUGGGUACGGGCAAACUAGAGUGCGGUAGGGGAGAUCGGAAUUCCUGGUGUAGCGGUGAAAUGCGCAGAUAUCAGGAGGAACACCGGUGGCGAAGGCGGAUCUCUGGGCCGUAACUGACGCUGAGGAGCGAAAGCAUGGGUAGCGAACAGG